GCUUGUGUAGCCCAGUUGGUAGAGCACAAGGCUCUUCACCUUAAGGUCUAGGGUUCAAGCCCCAUACUUUGUA
rnacentral:tRNA from 7 species